GUAGGAAAAUUUUCAGCACUCAGAUCAGCCGAAAGUGAAUUGGUUCCCGCAAAGAGGUCACAGAAGGCAACAUCGAAGCGCUGAAACGACGCCAAAUAGCAAGAGCCGGCAAAGAUCCGGAAGGCGGCUAGUAUUCGACAUCGAAGAGCACUGAGACGACGUCAGAGUGGAAGGACUCGUGAAGAUUCUCAGGACGACGGCAUUCGACAUUGCAGCCUACAGUCAAUAGCAGCCGUCGGACGGUUUCGCCGAUAUCGAAGCGACUUCUUGCGACAGCCGAUCUAAGAAGGGCACCGACAACCUGUAUCAGAAGAGAGAGAGAGCAUUGUCCUCGAGCAACCACAAAGUGCUACUAGCGGUAGGGAUAAUAUCAGCCAACAGUGAAGCACGUCUAACAUGCUUUCCUUCCAGUACUCAAGCGACGACCGCAUAGAAGCAACCUGUGAGAUUCCGUCCCAGGCAGAGCGUCUUGCAUUCCGCCCGCAGCAAGAACAAAGACCCCUUCCGGAGGGUGAGCCAGUCAUAUGAGACCGCGGUGGACUAAUGUCAGGUGUCCAAUAGGGUCUUUUCUCUUGGCCUAUUUUUGCAGCAUCCUACGUUCCACUGAUCAGGCCGGAUCACCGAACCGAAACGACGGAGAUAAAUCUACGGAGAUCGUCUGGGACCUAGGCGAAGGCCGGUGGUAUAAAUUCGAUCCACGCAUUACUCACGGUGAGGUACAAUGACACUUCCCGGUUGUUAGUUAGCACGGUACGGAGAACAGCGGAGUUUGAUUUGAGCACAGGUGGGAGCGGUAUGGAACUACAGUGAAGUAACAGUGAGUAGUAAGAUUUGAGAAUGUACGAUAGGAAAUGAAGGAAGCGUGGCUAGCAGGAUUUAAGAAUCUACGAUAGG